AGAGCGAACGCUGGCGGCAGGCCUAAAACAUGCAAGUCGAACGAGCCCUUCGGGGCUAGUGGCGGACGGGUGAGUAACACGUGGGAACGUGCCUUUUGGUUCGGAACAACUCAGGGAAACUUGAGCUAAUACCGAAUGUGCCCUUCGGGGGAAAGAUUUAUCGCCAUUAGAGCGGCCCGCGUCUGAUUAGCUAGUUGGUAGGGUAAAGGCCUACCAAGGCUUCGAUCAGUAGCUGGUCUGAGAGGAUGAUCAGCCACACUGGGACUGAGACACGGCCCAGACUCCUACGGGAGGCAGCAGUUAGGAAUCUUGCGCAAUGGGCGAAAGCCUGACGCAGCCAUGCCGCGUGAAUGAUGAAGGUCUUAGGAUUGUAAAAUUCUUUCAGCGGGGACGAUAAUGACGGUACCCGCAGAAGAAGCUCCGGCUAACUUCGUGCCAGCAGCCGC
rnacentral:rRNA from 1 species